CACGGAGCCCCCGCUCUCAUCCCGGCCAUCCAAGUGGAUCACGUCCUGACCAUCCUGAGGGAAUUCCUGCAGGAAUUUCCCAAGCUGAGGGACGAGGGGCCCCCCAGGGAACUCCAGGACGUGCGGGACAAUUCCAGGGACGGGGAAUACUGGGAAGCCAUGACCCGCAUCAUUCCCCAGCGCAAACUCAAGCUUUGGGACGCGCUCGGAGCCGCGCUCGUGGAAUACCACAAAGUGCUGACCCGGAGAUCCGAGCUGUUUUCCGAGGCCACGGCCCUGCAGCGGCAGAACGCGGAGCUGGGAAUGCUGCUGGAGGAAUAUUUGGGAUCCGCGCAAGGCGGGUGCCCCUGAGCUCAGCCUGGGGUUCCCGGGGAUAUUCCGGAAUAUUCCGGACGCGGAUCCCACCGGGAUGGAGCAAAACCCGGGGAUCGCCGGUGCCGGGUGUGGAUCUGCCUGGAUCUGAGCCAGGAAUUCCUGGCAGGGGUUAAUAAAUCAUUCCCAAACCGGGA